rnacentral:rRNA from 1 species
GUGGGGAAUCUUCCGCAAUGGACGAAAGUCUGACGGAGCAACGCCGCGUGAGUGAAGAAGGUCUUCGGAUCGUAAAGCUCUGUUGUACGGGACGAAUGUUGAAGGCGUGAAUAAUGCCAUCAAAUGACGGUACUGUACGAGGAAGCCACGGCUAACUACGUGCCAGCAGCCGCGGUAAUACGUAGGUGGCGAGCGUUGUCCGGAAUUAUUGGGCGUAAAGGGAGCGCAGGUGGGAAGGUAAGUCUGUUUUAAAAGCGUCGGGCUCAACCCGAUGAGGGAACAGAAACUAUUUUUCUUGAGUGCAGGAGAGGAAAGCGGAAUUCCUAGUGUAGCGGUGAAAUGCGUAGAUAUUAGGAGGAACACCAGUGGCGAAGGCGGCUUUCUGGACUGUAACUGACACUGAGGCUCGAAAGCCAGGGGAGCGAACGGGAUUAGAUACCCCGGUAGUCC